GUUUUAGAUAGACAGCUUUUCAAAACUUACCCUGCUUCUUUUGCAGUGUUUUGUUCCAAUAGAUGACAGGCUCUGCUGAGAGAUCCUGCUCUGUGGCUUUAAGCAGUUAACAUUUAAAAGGGAUCAACCCACAAAUCCACAGAUGUUUCUGUGAGCUCUUCAAAGGAAUGUGGAAUUUUCUAAAAUGGGAAGACCAUUGUAUAUGGCAACCAACAACAGCAAGGCCAUUGAAUCUGCUUCCUUCUCCCUGUAGACUGGAUUCCCUCCAGAACUGCCUGUUGUCCUCAUUAGGACAGAAUUACCACUUCUUCCAACCAGCCACUGGAUCUCCUUUUGGAUGUCAAACACAGGAGAAAAGCAGAGGCCCUGAACUCUGGAAAUGGAUUAUCCAGUGGUACCACCUUCCCUUGCAGUCCAGGAAUAAAUGUGUGACCCUGGCUUGACAGUGCUAUAUAGAGGUGUUCAAAUGACAGCUCUGGAGGCUGAAGUCUCCCCUUUGCUCAGCAGUGGACAGAAGAUGGGAUAAUCCUGUCUUUGCUUCA